AGAGUUUGAUCCUGGCUCAGGACGAACGCUGGCGGCACGCUUAACACAUGCAAGUCGAACGAGAGAAGAGAAGCUUGCUUUUCUGAUCUAGUGGCGGACGGGUGAGUAACACGUGAGCAAUCUGCCUUUCAGAGGGGGAUACCGAUUGGAAACGAUCGUUAAUACCGCAUAACAUAAUUGAACCGCAUGAUUUGAUUAUCAAAGAUUUAUCGCUGAAAGAUGAGCUCGCGUCUGAUUAGCUAGUUGGUAAGGUAACGGCUUACCAAGGCGACGAUCAGUAGCCGGACUGAGAGGUUGAUCGGCCACAUUGGGACUGAGACACGGCCCAGACUCCUACGGGAGGCAGCAGUGGGGAAUAUUGCACAAUGGAGGAAACUCUGAUGCAGCGAUGCCGCGUGAGGGAAGAAGGUUUUAGGAUUGUAAACCUCUGUCUUCAGGGACGAAAAAAGACGGUACCUGAGGAGGAAGCUCCGGCUAACUACGUGCCAGCAGCCGCGGUAAUACGUAGGGAGCGAGCGUUGUCCGGAAUUACUGGGUGUAAAGGGAGCGUAGGCGGGAUCGCAAGUCAGAUGUGAAAACUAUGGGCUUAACCCAUAAACUGCAUUUGAAACUGUGGUUCUUGAGUGAAGUAGAGGUAAGCGGAAUUCCUAGUGUAGCGGUGAAAUGCGUAGAUAUUAGGAGGAACAUCAGUGGCGAAGGCGGCUUACUGGGCUUUAACUGACGCUGAGGCUCGAAAGCGUGGGGAGCAAACAGGAUUAGAUACCCUGGUAGUCCACGCCGUAAACGAUGAUUACUAGGUGUGGGGGGACUGACCCCUUCCGUGCCGCAGCAAACGCAAUAAGUAAUCCACCUGGGGAGUACGACCGCAAGGUUGAAACUCAAAGGAAUUGACGGGGGCCCGCACAAGCAGU
rnacentral:rRNA from 1 species